UACGUAGGGUGCAAGCGUUAAUCGGAAUUACUGGGCGUAAAGCGUGCGCAGGCGGUUUUGUAAGUCUGAUGUGAAAUCCCCGGGCUCAACCUGGGAAUUGCAUUGGAGACUGCAAGGCUAGAAUCUGGCAGAGGGGGUAGAAUUCCACGUGUAGCAGUGAAAUGCGUAGAGAUGUGGAGGAACACCGAUGGCGAAGGCAGCCCCCUGGGUCAAGAUUGACGCUCAUGCACGAAAGCGUGGGGAGCAAACAGG
rnacentral:rRNA from 1 species